UCUGAAGGAGAACCACAAGACCUGAGAAAAGAUCCAGAAUAUUCAGGACGUGUGUAUGUAAACACUGGGUGGUCUGACUGUAGCCUGACAGUGUGGAAUGUGAGAUUGAGUGACUCUGGAGUUUCUAACUUUAGAUAUAAAACACAGAGCAGUGACUGGAUAUCAGCUUCAUCUGGACUUCAACUGACUGUUACAGGUAACACACACACACAGAGUUUAUUGUGUAAUAUGUAGUAUGCAUUUACAGUGAUUUGGUCCAUAAUUGUGUGCAGACUUGCAGGUUAAGGUGGAUCCUAACAUUGUAGGACAGAGAGAAGUGAAAGUGACCUGUAGCUCCACCUGCAGACACAACACACUCCUUUUCUACUGGCACAGGAAUGGCCUUUAUAUAAAAUACAGAAAUGACGCAUCCAUUGUACUUGAUUCCUCCAGUCGAUCUGAUGAUGGCAGCUACUCCUGUAAGGUGUAUGGGAGUGAACACCGCUCUCCUCCAGUGUGUGUACUGGGUAGAGAGUGUUGGGGUGUGACUUACACUGCUGAACAUGUGUGUGCUCUGAAAAACACAUCAGUUGUUCUUUCCUGCUCUUAUAAAUAUCCUGCAGGUCUCACAGUGAUAAAAUCAGUGUGGUUCAUUAAAGCUCAGGUUAAUGUUGAGCCUGAGGAUGUGAGAGAGGAUGAGGAGUAUCAGGGCCGAGUGCAGUACACACAGAGCUCCCAGAAUGACUGUAGUCUGAGAAUCACUAAACUGAGAGAGAGAGAGACGCUCAAACAUACAGGUUCAGAUUCCACACUGAUGAUCCUAAAGGAAAAGGCACCGGAGAACCUGGAGUCUCUCUGUCUGUCACAGAUCUGAUGGUUAAAGUAUCAGACUCGGGUAGCGGACAAAUCGAUCUGAGCUGCAUCACCACCUGCAUUCUGUCUAACAAACCCACUUACAUCUGGUACAAGAACGGACAGCGUGUGUCUGAGUGUAAAUCUGCCUCCUGCUCUGUAGCUGCAGUCGGUGGUGCCGUCAGUUACAGUUGUGCUGUUGAAGGCCAUGACAGUCUCCUCUCUCCUCCAGUGUUGUGUUCCAAAACCUGGAGAUGACACAUACACAGGGCUGAACCUCAUGACUAUGUCCCCGGAUUAUGACACUCUGCAAUGCCCACACUCCAGUCUAGUAGGU